ACCGCAUAUUUUCCUAAACUAACAAAACCAGGCUAAUGCGCUGGCUUGUGCUCAUGAGAUUAUAAAACAUAUACUUUAUACAUUUGUCAUAAAUUACCUGCAAUGACGGGACACACACACACACAGUAUGGAUGAAUGAUCAGUACUCGACAGGACAUAAAUAGCACUUCUAAAGAAGAUGUAUUUUUCAGUUAGCUAACUGUUACCAACUUCAAAGAGAGAACUUUAGCUAACAUAAAACCCACAUGAAAAACUGAGAUUCGGCAAACCCAGACGCUAAACCAACAACGGUAGUUACUAAUAACAUAAGCUGAUAAUGCACAAUGUAAAAUGUGGAUUUUAUGAUGUAAUGUCCACUUUAUACAUUUCUAUCCUGGGACCAUUCCAUUUUCAACUCACCCACAGCAUUUCUCCAUAAAUCUACUGCGGAUUACCCAAAAUCCCAUACCUUUAUCACUGAGUGCAUUAGACAAUGUAAACACAUGAAUCUACCAGGAGGUGGCAUAAUAUCUGUUUUAUGCAGGAAUUUAACAGUUUAAUUACACCGUUACAUAUAUUCAUGAUUCAUCUGAUUACUUUUCUAUUUUUCUAUUGUACACGUUUGUAAUAAUUUGCCAGGAACUGUGUCCGAAUAGGCCCUUUUAAAACACUGUUACUGCUGAAAGUCAGUUGACUCUCACAAUAUAAACAAAACAUAUACAGGUAGGCUCAAGUGAAUGCUCUCACACAGUAGACAAAGGGAAAUGUAUACAACUAUGAUAAUGCAUACAUGAAGUCGUUUGACCGUUGAGCCCAUAGGGCUCUAUAUCCUAUGCUGGGAGGGAGCAGGGCCUAUAUCCUAUGCUGGGAGGGAGCAGGGCCUAUAUCCAGUGGUGGAAAAAGUACCCAACUGUCAUACUUGAGUAAAAGUAUAGGUACCUUAAUAGAAAGUUAUUAAAGUAAAAGUGAAAGUCACCCAGUAAAAUAGUGCUUGAGUAAAAGUCUACAAGUAUUUGGCUUUAAAUAUGCUGAAGUAUCAAAAGUAGAAGUAAAAGUAUAAAUAAUUUAAAAUUGCUNNNNNNNNNNUGCUGGGAGGGAGCAGGGCCUAUAUCCUGUGCUGGGAGGGAGCAGGGCCUAUAUCCUGUGCUGGGAGGGAGCAGGGCCUAUAUCCAGUGCUGGGAGGGAGCAGGGCCUAUAUCCAGUGGUGGAAAAAGUACCCAACUGUCAUACUUGAGUAAAAGUAUAGGUACCUUAAUAGAAAGUUAUUAAAGUAAAAGUGAAAGUCACCCAGUAAAAUAGUGCUUGAGUAAAAGUCUACAAGUAUUUGGCUUUAAAUAUGCUGAAGUAUCAAAAGUAGAAGUAAAAGUAUAAAUA
rnacentral:lncRNA from 13 species